AGAGUUUCAUCAUGGCUCAGAUUGAACGCUGGCGGCAGGCCUAACACAUGCAAGUCGAGCGGCAGUGGAAGGAAGCUUGCUUCCUUGCCGGCGAGCGGCGGACGGGUGAGUAAGGUAUGGGGAUCUGGCCGAAGGCGGGGGAUAACCACUGGAAACGGUGGCUAAUACCGCAUAAUCUCUAAGGAGCAAAGUGGGGGACCGUUCAGGCCUCACACCUUCGGAUGAACCCAUAUGAGAUUAGCUAGUAGGUGGGGUAAUGGCUCACCUAGGCGACGAUCUCUAGCUGGUCUGAGAGGAUGAUCAGCCACACUGGGACUGAGACACGGCCCAGACUCCUACGGGAGGCAGCAGUGGGGAAUAUUGCACAAUGGGCGCAAGCCUGAUUCAGCCAUGCCGCGUGUAUGAAGAAGGCCUUCGGGUUGUAAAGUACUUUCAGUCGUGAGGAAGGUGUUAAGGUUAAUAACCUUAGCAAUUGACGUUAGCGACAGAAGAAGCACCGGCUAACUCCGUGCCAGCAGCCGCGGUAAUACGGAGAGUGCGAGCGUUAAUCGGAAUUACUGGGCGUAAAGG
rnacentral:rRNA from 1 species